rnacentral:rRNA from 1 species
AGUGAACGCUGGCGGUAGGCCUAACACAUGCAAGUCGAACGGCAGCACAGUAAGAGCUUGCUCUUACGGGUGGCGAGUCGCGGACGGGUGAGGAAUACAUCGGAAUCUACUUUUUCGUGGGGGUUAACGUAGGGAAACUUACGCUCAUACCGCAUCCGACCUACGGGUGAAAGCAGUGGAUCUUCGGACCUUGCGCGAUUGAAUGAGCGGAUGUCGGAUUAGUUAGUUGGCGGGGUGAAGGCCAACCAAGUCGACGAUCCGUAGCUGGUCGGAGUGAAUGAUCGGCGACACUGGAGCUGAGACACGGUCCAGAGGCCUACGGGAGGGAGCAGACGGGAAUAGUGGGCAGUGGGCGCAAGCAUGAUCCAGCGAUAGCGCGUGGGUGGAGAAGGCGUUCGGGGUGGAAAGCCCUUUUUUGGGGAGAGAAAAGCAGCAGGUUAAUACCCCGCUGUUCUGACGGUACCCGAAGAAGAAGCACCGGCUAACUUCGUG